CUUGCGCGCCAUCUGCUUCCGGCCUGCGAGCUCGGUGUUCCACUCUUUGUGGGCCGGGUGGAUUUCCUGCUCUGCUUUUCUUAUGCCUGGUUGAUCUGUGUGCAAUGGCUCUGGACUCGGAUCCCUUCCCGGAAGGGCCUCUCUUAAAGCUGCUACCCUUAGACGCUAGAGACCGGGGCACCCAGCGCUGCCGCCUGGGCCCGGCCGCCCUCCACGCCCUGGGCGCGCGCUUGGGCUCAGCAGUGAAGAUCUCGCUACCCGACGGCGGCUCCUGCCUCUGCACUGUCUGGCCUCGGCGGGACAGAGCGAACGGCUUUGUGCAGCUGGACCCGCUGUGCGCGAGCCCCGGGGCGGCGGUCGGGGCGCCGAGAUCCCGGAGGAGUCUCAGCCUGAGCCACCUCCUCCUAGUGCCCUGUCCGCCCCUGCGGCGCGUUUCCGUGUGGCCGGUGUUGCGAGAGCUGGCGGGCGCGCCUGGUGCCCCGAAUACAGCCGCGGUGCUGGAGGCGGCGCAGGAGCUGCUGAGAAACCGACCGGUCUCCCUGGGCCACGUGGUGGUCGCUCCGCCGGGCGCUCCUGGCCCGGUGGCUGCCUUGCACAUCGUCGGCGGAACGCCCAGUCCCGAUCCCGCUGGGCUGGUCACCCCUCACACUCGCGUCGGCCUUGGCGGGGAACCUCCGUCCGAAGCCCAGCCGCAGCCCGAGGUGCCCCUGGGAGGUCUUUCGGAGGCUGCCGACUCGCUGCGGGAGCUCCUCCACUUCCCGCUCCGCUACCCGCGCGCCCUGGCCUCGCUGGGCUUAGCGGUGCCCCGCGGGGUGCUCCUGGCGGGGCCCCCCGGAGUGGGCAAGACCCAGCUGGUGCGGGCCGUGGCGCGCGAGGCGGGCGCGGAGCUGCUGGCAGUCAGCGCCCCCGCGCUGCAGGGUUCCCGGCCUGGGGAGACCGAGGAGAACGUGCGGCGGGUCUUCCAGCGCGCCCGGGAGCUGGCCAGCCGCGGGCCCAGCCUCCUCUUCCUGGACGAGGUGGACGCUUUGUGUCCCCGGCGGGGCGGUCGAGCACCCGAGAGCCGCGUAGUGGCCCAGGUGUUGACGCUGCUGGACGGCGCAAGUGGGGACCGCGAGGUCGUGGUUGUGGGAGCCACCAACCGGCCGGACGCUCUAGAUCCAGCGCUGCGUAGACCCGGGAGAUUUGACCGAGAGGUGGUCAUUGGGACUCCCACACUUAAACAAAGAAAGGAAAUUCUGCAAGCGAUUACCUCAAAGAUGCCCAUCUCCAGUCAUGUUGAUUUGGGCCUUCUUGCAGAAAUGACAGUUGGCUAUGUUGGUGCCGACCUGACAGCACUCUGUAGGGAGGCUGCCAUGCAUGCUCUCCUUCAUAGUGAGAAGAACCAGGACAAUCCUGUGAUUGAUGAAACAGACUUCCUUGAAGCUUUUAAAAAUAUUCAACCUUCAUCAUUUCGAAGCGUCAUUGGAUUGAUGGAUAUCAAGCCUGUUGACUGGGAGCAGAUUGGUGGCCUUGAAGAUGUAAAACUGAAGUUAAAACAGAGCAUAGAGUGGCCUCUGAAAUUCCCUCGGGAAUUUGUUAGGAUGGGCCUGAUGCAACCGAAGGGAGUUCUCCUCUAUGGGCCCCCUGGAUGUGCUAAAACCACUCUGGUGAGGGCCCUGGCCACAAGCUGUCACUGCUCUUUUGUUUCAGUGAGUGGAGCUGAUCUGUUUUCACCAUUUGUUGGAGAUUCAGAAAAAGUCUUAUCUCAGAUAUUUCGACAAGCAAGAGCAAGUACUCCAGCAAUUGUGUUUUUGGAUGAAAUUGAUUCAAUCUUGGGAGCUCGCUCAGCCAGCAAGACAGGAUGUGAUGUUCAAGAACGAGUUCUUUCUGUUCUCCUGAAUGAAUUAGAUGGUGUUGGACUUAAGACAAUAGAGAGAAGAGGAAGUAAAUCAAGUCAACAGGGUAAAUACAAGGAGCUGAAAAAAUGAAGAGAGUUUCAAGAAGUUUUUAACCGAAGUGUCAUGAUUGUUGCAGCAACAAAUAGACCUGAUGUGUUAGAUACUGCUUUGUUACGACCUGGAAGAUUAGAUAAGAUCAUCUAUAUUCCACCUCCAGAUCACAAGGGCAGGCUUUCUAUUUUAGAAGUCUGUACAAAAAACAUGCCAAUAGGUCCUGAUGUCUCCUUAGAAAACCUAGCAGCAGAAACCGGUUUUUUUUCUGGAGCUGAUCUUAGAAACCUCUGCACAGAAGCUGCUUUGCUGGCUCUGCAAGAAAAUGGACUAGACACAACUACAGUGAAACAAGAGCACUUUCUAAAAUCACUUAAGACUGUAAAACCAUCGUUAAGUCGCAAGGACUUGGCUUUAUAUGAAAAUUUAUUUAAGAAAGGAGGAUUUUCUAACUUGGAAGGUAUUUAAAAAUCACCUUACACCCUUGUUCAGUUGUUCACGUUAAUUGAAAUGUGAACUUGCCUGUCGUUUGCAACUUCACACUUUUAGAAUUUGUGUUUGUAUUUCCUGUAAGUAAAUAAAUAAAAACAAAAAAACAAAAACCACAAAACCUUGUGCCUGAUAAGCUAAGGCUCAUUUAUUUUUAAAAGGCAUAUUAAAUAAAAUACUGUAA